GAUAAAGCUGAAGACAAUUUCAUGGUCCAAGCGUUUGUCAUUAAAGAUAGAAUAGAUAUACUUUUAUUUAGGAUGCAAAAUGUAUUUGACUGACCGCCAACUAGCAAACAAUUAUAAAAGGAGGUCACAGACUCAUAGCCAUAAAGUGUACCUACAAUUUUAGAAACUGACAAAUUAUAAACCAUUAACCAAUGCCAAAGAAUAUGUUUCAAUUAAUGUAUGUGAAAAAAAUAUUUUUAGCUUUAUGUAAAUUCAUCUCCAGAUGAUAAAACAGGUAGGUAGGUAAUAAAAAUCAUAAUUCUAUACUUGAGAAUUUACUGGCCAACGAUAAUUGGAUAAAUAAUGUUUCAGUAAUUAAUAUAUUUACCUAUGAAUAAUUAUGAUAUUAACGAAGAUAAAAUUCUGCUAAAUUCAAUAAAAUGGUACGUACA